UCAGAUCCAUUAAAUUUAAUCAUUUAACUCAUUGCUAUAACUGUGAAAAACCCAAUAAUUAAUUGUAAUUUUAUCGUCAGCCGGCAUGCAAUUCGAAUACAGUAAUUUUUACUGUAUCUUUUUUUUACGUUUUUUCGUCUAAAAUUAUGUUAAUUAAGAAAACGCACCCAUUCGAUCAGUACGUAACUAUUCGGUCGAUAUGUCCAUAUGCAGAUACGUAGUUCUGUUAAAACUUUAUGAAAAAAAAAAAAAAAAAAAUAGCAAAAUAACGUUUAAGUCACCACUCAGGAAUUACAGUCUGGAAUUAUAAUAUUGUAACAGUGACAUAUUGUGUUCCGAUUCUAAAAAAUGAAUUGUGAAUUUUUUAUUUUUUGACGAUUUAUAAUCAGGUAGGUAGGUAGGUAGUUGUACCGACACUGAAGUUUGAAAAAAACUAUUAUUCAUUAGAAAAUGUAAUAAAUAAUACAUCACUUCCUACAUUAUUAUAAUGAUGCAUGCCCGUUGUCAAUUUCACGAUUUUUUUUUUUUUUUACGACUCCGUAAUACAUCUUGAACCUAUCGCACCUAACCCCGUCGUACCUGCAUGGUUUUAUUUUGUACCGUGACGCGUUUAAAACAUUAUUGCACGAUGCCGCGAGGCUUUUUCCAUUCUAAACAAUGUACGUUUAUCUAGCGAGUUAUGUUUUCUUUUGCACAGAGACAAUUUUCAAUCGACUUAAUGUACGUAAAAAAAAUCGAAACAUACGCGCCUAAAUGAUUAUGCCCACCCGAAAACGCAGGUACCGCCAACCCGUAUGCAUACGUUCCGUAUGACUUUAUAAAAUACAGGCGUAAACCUAUCGAUUAUCCGCAGGUAAAGUUCAAUAAGUCGGCGAAAAACAAUGUAAUUUCGCCGUAGCUCGGGGCGGUUAAAAGUGAUACGUGUAAUUAUGUAAUUAUAAUACAGUUCUGUUUUUUAAUAAUAGGCUAUGAGUUUCGUUGGAAAAAAAAAAUACAUAUAUUUUGGGUGGGUAAAACGAAUACUGUAUAUUAAUACUGAUCUCCGUGUUUAACAGUUUAAUAUUUUAUAUUUUAUUUUACGAAUAAGAUUUGUUUGAAUUUUAGAGAAAAAAAAAAGCAAGUCAAGACAGUCCGACAGUCCGUAUUACGCGAGCGUGCAAAGUUCCCGGCUUCUAAACGCGUUUUAAAACUUAUACAAUUCGAUACGCUGGUACCAUUUUAAAAGAACUCGGUAACCCAUUAGAAUGUUUUGCGUUUGUGAAACUUGUUUGAAUUGAACAGGCACCGUGAUUUUUU